UGAAACACCGUUUCUAGUAGCAUUACCGAAGUUAAGCAACGUCAAGCCUGGUCAGUACCUAGAUGGGUGACCGCUUGGGAAUACCACGUGCUGUAAU